GAGUAUUAUAAGAGGAAAACACAAUAAGGCCCAAAUAUUUAAAGCAGGCCCAAGCCCAAGUACUUUAUCACUGUCAUUGUUCAGUCCUACGACUUCACCGGCGGCUGCAAUAACUCCCGUCGCUUUCUCCUACAGGUAAGGUCCGGGUUGCAGUAACUGUCAAAAUGGCUCCGGCGAAAGCUAGUAGCACAAAAAAGGCAGACCCAAAGCUCGGGCUGCAAAGGUUGCCAAGGCUGUGAAAUCUGGCUCAACCAUAAAGAAGACGGCAAAGAAGAUACAAACAAAAGUCACCUUUCACAGGCCCAGGACAUUGAAGAAGGAUAGAAACCCAAAGUAUCCCCAUAUUAGUGCACCUCCAAGGAACAAGCUGGAUCAUUACAAAAUCCUCAAUUGUCCUUUAAUCACCGAGUCAGCAAUGAAGAAGAUCGAGGAUAAUAACACCUUAGUUUUCAUUGUUGAUAUCCAUGCUGACAAGAAGAAAGAAAGUGAACACUUUUGAUCAGGCCUGAUGGAACCAAAAAGGCCACGUUCGGCUGACUCCAGACUAUGAUGCAUUGGAUGUGGUAAACAAGAUUGAGAUAAUCUAAACAGAAACUAGUUGUUUUCGCACACAAAUAGCUCAAUCGACAGUUUUGUUAGCUGUUUUCAGGUCAAAUAGUUUGAGUAGAUCUUGUAGUUGUGACUCUUAAUUAGAGAGGUCAAUAUGUUUGUACUCUUGAGAACAACAUUGUCACUCUUUGCUUACAUGUUAUGUUGGCUUAUGUACUGCUUUGGUUAAUAGAAUUGGUCCGGUUCGUAUUUAGUUGUUCGUUGAGAUCAAGUUAAAGGUAUCGAGUACUUGGUUUAAAUUGACUUUGUAAACUCUUCAAUUUUGAUAAUAAACAUUUGAGAAUGCACAUCUUGAAAA